CCUAAAGUACUGCCAAUGGAUUUCAUGUAACCCCUUAUGCCUUAUCCUUUGUAAUAUAAUAAGGUGCACAACAGCCAUUCUCUGGAGUAUUUUCUCAAUCUGUUGAGAUUUUGCUUCCUGGCAAUUGUCCUCAGUUUGGCUCAAAUAAACUCA